CAAGUGGGUGUCUUUAAGCAUCCUGUGAUAGGCAGGCUUGGGAGGAGCUGACAGUCACUUGGAAACAGAUGGAAUGAAGAAGGUCAAUGGGGAUUGGCAACAUAAAAUGUACCAGGAAAAAUGUAAGGGGAAGAAAACAGAAUUUCCUCACAGAUAUUUUGUCAGAGUCUUCUGUGUGCCUGGCGCUGCUCCAGCCCUGAGGACAUGGGCGAGAGUAACACAACAAGGGCCCCACCACGCACGGCACCCACGUCUUAGGUGGAAGGGGUGAAAAGGGACGUCCCAGACAGUACUGGCAACACGCCUCCUGAUGACAGCACAUAAUAACGGGCACCAUGUCAUACCACGUCCAUCCCGGUUGUGAAAGUCACGCGAAUACAAAGCCUGCAGGAUGCCUCUGUAGGAGCCCUCACUCUCUCACGUUCCUUCCACCAUCUGGUCCUGUCUGGACCUAACCUGCAUAUCAAUUUGAGAUUCAGAGCCUGCUGAAAGUCAACAAUAAAUAGUGAUGCUGGGUGUUCUCUAUAAUAACCAAAUUAUGGGAACAACCCAAGUGUCCACCAUUUGAUGAAGAGAAAAGGAAGAUGUGGUGUGUGGACAUAUGCAUGCAUGUACGCAUACUAUGGAAUAUUACUAAGCCAUAAAAAAUAAUCAAGUCUUGCCUUUUGCAAUGACACGGAUAUAGCUAGAGUGUCUUAUGGUAA